rnacentral:rRNA from 1 species
ACUGACAUUAGAUACCCCUGUAGUCCAGGGUGUAAACGCUGCAGACUUGGUGUUGGAAGUCCUUUGGGGGCAUUCAGUGCCGGAGAGAAGUUGUUAAGUCUGCUACUUGGGGAGUACGUCCGCAAGGAUGAAACUUAAAGGAAUUGGCGGGGGAGCACCGCAACGGGAGGAGCGUGCGGUUUAAUUGGACUCAACGCCGGAAAUCUCACCGGAUAGGACAGACAUAUGAUGGCCAGGUUGAUGACCUUGCUUGACAAGCUG